rnacentral:lncRNA from 1 species
UUCAAUUUGCAUUUAUUUCAAAUUCAUUGCCGAUACUCAAUCGUGAUUUACAAUAAUUGAUCAUUAAUGCAUGCACUACAAAAAUAUUACAAAAUCUAAAAAGUAAAAAAAAUUCGUGUUGUAUUUGAAAAUUGUGCUGAUAUGGAUCACAUGACAUCGAUGGGCACCAUGAACACCCGUUCUUCUGGCCGCACGUCCUUUUCCCUGAUUCUUUCUCUGAAUAGAAAAAUAUUUGGUUUAGUUUACUAUCUUCGUGAGAAUUUUUAUCCAAUUAUGGAUUCCUGAAAUUUGUUAGGAGAUGCCCAGAUAAUAAG